UUAACAAGUAAUUGUUAUCAUUUUAAUAUUGAUAACGAUAAAAAAAAAAUAAAAAAAUUGCAAUCAUUUUAUGGAUCUCCCCCACAAUAUUUGUAAUUACUUUUUGAAAAUUACUGUUGCCUGCAGUUGAAAAAAUUUCUUUAUAUUGUUGAUAAAUUAAAAAAACAAGACAAUGGCUAGUGGAAUUACAAAUCAAAAGGAAGGAAUGUGUUGCUAUGGGAUACAACUGAGCAAUUAAAUAACCCUGCAAUGUUGAUCUCUUCUGUCAGUAAAAACAAGUUUUUUAAAUUCAGAAGUUUCAAAACAAAGAUGAGGAAAAAUUACACAUUUUGAUAGUUGGUGUUGCUUUAACGUUCAGUGACAAAUAUUUGAUCACAAAGAAAACACUACAUCAACAAAUCAUAAUCUUAACUCCAAAAAUAAAUUCCAGCUCUUUGUGAAUAGUUUAAG
rnacentral:lncRNA from 1 species